CGUUUAUUUGAUAGUACCUCACUACAUGGAUAACCGUGGUAAUUCUAGAGCUAAUACAUGCUAAAAACCCCGACUCACGAAGGGGUGUAUUUAUUAGAUAAAAAACCAAUGCCCUUCGGGGCUCCUUGGUGAAUCAUGAUAACUUAACGAAUCGCAUGGCCUUGCGCCGGCGAUGGUUCAUUCAAAUUUCUGCCCUAUCAACUUUCGAUGGUAGGAUAGUGGCCUACCAUGGUCUCAACGGGUAACGGGGAAUUAGGGUUCGACUCCGGAGAGGGAGCCUGAGAAACGGCUACCACAUCCAAGGAAGGCAGCAGGCGCGCAAAUUACCCAAUCCCGACACGGGGAGGUAGUGACAAUAAAUACUGAUACAGGGCUCUUUUGGGUCUUGUAAUUGGAAUGAGUACAAUUUAAAUCCCUUAACGAGGAACAAUUGGAGGGCAAGUCUGGUGCCAGCAGCCGCGGUAAUUCCAGCUCCAAUAGCGUAUAUUAAAGUUGUUGCAGUUAAAAAGCUCGUAGUUGAACCUUGGGCCUGGCUGGCCGGUCCGCCUCACCGCGUGUACUGGUCCGGCCGGGCCUUUCCUUCUGGGGAGCCGCAUGCCCUUCACUGGGCGUGUCGGGGAACCAGGACUUUUACUUUGAAAAAAUUAGAGUGUUCAAAGCAGGCCUUUGCUCGAAUACAUUAGCAUGGAAUAAUAGAAUAGGACGUGUGGUUCUAUUUUGUUGGUUUCUAGGACCGCCGUAAUGAUUAAUAGGGAUAGUCGGGGCCGUCCGUAUUCAAUUGUCAGAGGUGAAAUUCUUGGAUUUAUUGAAGACGAACUACUGCGAAAGCAUUCGGCAAGGAUGUUUUCAUUAAUCAGUGAACGAAAGUUAGGGGAUCGAAGACGAUCAGAUACCGUCGUAGUCUUAACCAUAAACUAUGCCGACUAGGGAUCGGUGGGUGUUAUUAUUUUGACCUCAUCGGCACCUUACGAGAAAUCAAAGUUUUUGGGUUCUGGGGGGAGUAUGGUCGCAAGGCUGAAACUUAAAGAAAUUGAC
rnacentral:rRNA from 1 species